rnacentral:rRNA from 1 species
AGCGAACGCUGGCGGCAGGCCUAACACAUGCCAGUCGAACGAACCUUUCGGGGUUAGUGGCGGACGGGUGAGUAACACGUGGGAACGUGCCUUUAGGUUCGGAAUAACUCAGGGAAACUUGUGCUAAUACCGAAUGUGCCCUUCGGGGGAAAGAUUUAUCGCCUUUAGAGCGGCCCGCGUCUGAUUAGCUAGUUGGUUGAGGUAAUGGCUCACCAAGGCGACGAUCAGUAGCUGGUCUGAGAGGAUGAUCAGCCACAUUGGGACUGAGACACGGCCCAAACACGUGGGGGGGGAAGGGGGGGGGAAGAGGGAGGAAGGGGCGACAACCUGACGGGGCACGGCGGGAAGAAUGAAGAAGGUCUGAGUAAUGUAACAUUCUUGCGCGGGGGACAAUAAGGACGGAAGCGGGAGAAGAAGCCCAGGCUAACUGCGGGCCAGCAGGGGCGGUAAGAGGCGGAAGAGAACACGACUGACC